rnacentral:lncRNA from 1 species
GGAGAUGGGGAGCCAGACAACAGAAGAGGGGGGUCUGGUAUGGGGAGGCCUCUAACCCUGCUAUCUGACCAGGCUGGGGUCAGGGGCAAGCAGCACCUGGCCAUGCAGGGAAACUGCCACCUUCAGCUCCAUCUGCCCCAGAUUUUUCUCGAAGGUGUGUAUUCAAUCCAAUGAGACGUGAACGCAGGGAGAGCGGGACAACUGUAUGCAGCUCUGACCUGGACGCAGACAAACUCGGAGCAGGAAAAACAGCGUGGGCUGAGCAGAAUUACCACUUGCAAUCCUGAAUCUUACCUAGAAGAAGGCAGAAACUUCCAGAGCGGUACCGCGUGGAAGCCUGGCAUCAGACUGCCCACUGUAGGAAACCUCCCAGCUCCAUCCAGUGCCUACAGGAGCUGGGACACAGGUACCGGCGGAUAAGCCUCCUCCCCCACUCGCCACCAGGGUUGAGCCUAUGUAUGGUCCCUUACUCUGACAAAGCUUCUCCGUGCUUCAGGGACUUGACCCAUCCCGGGCUGAGUCGCCCUCCCCUUCCCAGGCCGGAUGUUUGUGCCCGCCUCUCCACAGCUGUUUAUUAAAUCCUAAUUCCUCUUGUAGACCUGAAAGGGGUAGAGCCAGCGAGGGGAGGGGCUUAAUGUCCUUACCUCCCUCUCCCCCACCCCUCA